UGCGGAGGGUGCGAGCGUUGUCCGGAAUCACUGGGCGUAAAGGGCGCGUAGGCGGCGCGAGCAGUCGGGCGGUGAAAGCCCGGGGCUCAACUCCGGGUCGGCCGCGAUACUCUCUGCUCGAGCUGUAGAGGCAGAUGGAAUUCCGGGUGUAGUGGUGAAAUGCGUAGAUAUCUGGAGGAACACCGGUGGCGAAGGCGCAUCCUGGACCGGCAUUGACGCUGAGGAGCGAAAGCUAGGGGGAGCAAAACGG
rnacentral:rRNA from 1 species